AUUGAACGCUGGCGGCAUGCCUUACACAUGCAAGUCGAACGGUAACAGGUUAAGCUGACGAGUGGCGAACGGGUGAGUAAUACAUCGGAACGUGCCCAGUAGUGGGGGAUAGCCCGGCGAAAGCCGGAUUAAUACCGCAUACGACCUAAGGGUGAAAGGGGGGGAUCGCAAGACCUCUCGCUAUUGGAGCGGCCGAUGUCAGAUUAGGUAGUUGGUGGGGUAAAGGCCCACCAAGCCGACGAUCUGUAGCUGGUCUGAGAGGACGACCAGCCACACUGGGACUGAGACACGGCCCAGACUCCUACGGGAGGCAGCAGUGGGGAAUUUUGGACAAUGGGCGCAAGCCUGAUCCAGCCAUGCCGCGUGCGGGAAGAAGGCCUUCGGGUUGUAAACCGCUUUUGUCAGGGAAGAAAUCCUUUGGGUUAAUACCUCGGGGGGAUGACGGUACCUGAAGAAUAAGCACCGGCUAACUACGUGCCAGCCGCCGCAGUAAAAC
rnacentral:rRNA from 1 species